rnacentral:rRNA from 1 species
AUACGGAGGAUCCGAGCGUUAUCCGGAAUUAUUGGGUUUAAAGGGUGCGUAGGCGGCGCGCUAAGUCAGGGGUGAAGGACGGUGGCUCAACCAUCGCAGUGCCUUUGAUACUGGCGCGCUUGAAUGUACCUGAGGUAGGCGGAAUGUGGCAAGUAGCGGUGAAAUGCAUAGAUAUGCCACAGAACACCGAUUGCGAAGGCAGCUUACCAAAGUACGAUUGACGCUGAGGCACGAAAGCGUGGGGAUCGAACAGGAUUAGAAACCCCAGUAGUCC